GUUUGAGGAUGUUUCCUCUUACGGACGAUACUUAUGCUUCAACAGAGUCAUAAACAACACUAAAGAUGCUACCACACUAGCCAAUAUGCUUCUGCCCCCUUCAGCGUCAUCAGGAACACAAAGUUUGGAGGAUGACACUGUAUAUGAGCAAAGGAUUAGCAACAAGAAACUAAACAAACUGAUGCUGGGAUUUGAUACUGGAUUGGAAGUCCAAGUGAAUUGAUUGAUGCCAUCACUGUUUAUAAAGCAUGGCUCGUA
rnacentral:misc_RNA from 1 species